AUUUCGAGUGGUAUAUUUUUAUUUUUUUAUAUUAGAAAAUAACAAAUCUUAAAUCUCUUAGUAAACACCCCUUAUCUUGUCAUUGCAAUGUACAGAGACACACAUAAUAUUAUAAUAUAAUAAAAUAAUACAUACACUAAUAUAAGUGCAAGAACAAGAUUGAAUGAAAUCGAAGGGUAUUUUGGAUGAAAGGCCCCCUUUUCUUUUCACAGGAGAAUUGGCGCUAAGAGUUGGCGGUAAUUAUCUCCAAGUUUCAGAAAUCACUAUCAAUAGAAUCCCUAAAGCCAGCCCUAAUUCCUAUUCUUUAGGAAGAGAAAAACCGUAAUACCCCCAAAUCUCACAUCAAAAUGGAAAAAAAAUCAGAAUCCAAAUCAUCAAUCCAACCUAGAAUAAUAAAAAACCGUCGACAAAUCCAAUACUCAAGAAGAUUGGCGCUAAGGGUGUUUUUUAGAGGGGAAUUGGCGGCAAUUUACUAUUUGAUAAGAGGAAUUAAAGGGGCAGUGGAACACAAGGACGCGAUCUUCCGUCAAAUUUUCGGGCGACCAAGAAGUCGUGUGCUUUCACCUACUGGAGUAAUAAAUCUUUCCAUUGCAUCACAAAACUUUUAACGAUCUCAAGUCUAAUAAUGAGUAUGGAUCACAAACGUAGAAUGGAGAUAUCAAGAGCAUUGAAGACAACUAACAAUAUUGGAAAUUUGAAACGCAAGAUGGAGUUAGCCGGUGCUUUAACUGCAACAAAUGAUAUAGCUGAUGAGCCAACUGAGCAUUCCUUACUUCCAACUUUAAAUGUUUCAAGUAAAAAUAAGAGAGUUUUGCCCCCGACUAAAUCAAAUAUUUCUAGCUCUUCAACUAGACAACCGACAAUAAACCCCAAAACUAGCGAUAAAGUUAGAGUGAAUACAAAAGAUCUUCAGGUACAACACAUGACCAAUGCGUCAAAUGAGCACAAUAGAGUUGAUGUUACAGGUAUUGUUAUCUAAAAUAGUUUUUUGGUAUUUAUUUUUACUUAUAUCUUGUAUGU